UACAGAGGGUGCGAGCGUUAAUCGGAAUUACUGGGCGUAAAGCGUGCGCAGGCGGUUGUGCAAGACAGGUGUGAAAUCCCCGGGCUUAACCUGGGAACUGCACUUGUGACUGCACGGCUGGAGUGCGGCAGAGGGGGAUGGAAUUCCGCGUGUAGCAGUGAAAUGCGUAGAGAUCGGGAGGAGCAUCAGUUGCGGAAGGCGGCUCUCUGGACCAGCACUGACACUGAGGCACGAAAGCGUGGGGAUCGAAACAGG
rnacentral:rRNA from 1 species